UACAUUUCAUCCAAAUUGUGACGUUCUGGAAAAAAUGCCCUAUAAACUGGGAUAGCGAAAUGGUAGCCCACACACAAAAUCUAGUGCUUCAAGAAGGUUCCUCUUAGAAAUAGAUAGAUCAGUCAAUGUUUGUUUCUUCUGUCUCAUCUACUAGUUGUCUAUUGAUUACUUCAAGAUUUUUUUAAAAGCCUGCAUGAAUAUGUUUAUCCACUUCUGUACACAGAGUUUCUACUAUACAUAUUACUGAAUGUCUUUUUACCUAAUAAAUUAAUUAUUUUUCAGUUUUUCCAGAAAUGUUGCAUUUUUGUAUGUUAUUUCCAGUAAUGUACAUAUUAUGUGUGUACUUUCCCUAAUAUGUCCCUAAAGAUGUUUUUAAGAUGUUUUUUAAAUUGUUGAUUUUAGCCGGUUCUUGUAAGCUGCUCUGAGCCCUAGGGGAGUGGCGGCAUAUAAGUUUGAAAAAUAAAUAAAUAAAUAUGUGUACUGUUUCACUAAUAGUUUUCACUUAAAUAAUGACAUAUAUUUUACCCAAAUUCUGUGUAAUUUUAUUUAACAUACACAUUUUCUAUGUAUUUUUGUGCAGAGAACUGAAUGAUAAAAGUCUGAGAAAAGUGGAACUAUACUGCCGAUUGUCUGAGGAGGCAAUAAUGUGGAUACAAAUGAAUUGUCUUCAUUUAUUACUG
rnacentral:lncRNA from 11 species